CAGCCGCCACGGUAAUACGUAGGGUGCAAGCGUUAAUCGGAAUUACUGGGCGUAAAGCGUGCGCAGGCGGUUUGUUAAGUCUGUUGUGAAAUCCCCGGGCUCAACCUGGGAAUGGCAAUGGAUACUGGCAAGCUAGAGUGUGUCAGAGGAUGGUGGAAUUCCCGGUGUAGCGGUGAAAUGCGUAGAGAUCGGGAGGAACAUCAGUGGCGAAGGCGGCCAUCUGGGACAACACUGACGCUGAGGCACGAAAGCGUGGGGAGCAAACAGGAUUAGAUACCCGCGUAGUCCCUGUCUCUUAUAC
rnacentral:rRNA from 1 species